UACGGAGGGGGCAAGCGUUAUUCGGAUUUACUGGGCGUAAAGCGCACGUAGGCGGCAUAGCAAGUCGCAGGUGAAAGCCCUCGGCUCAACCGAGGAACUGCCUGCGAAACUGCGUUGCUUGAGUCCGGGAGGGGGGAGCGGAAUUCCCAGUGUAGCGGUGAAAUGCGUAGAUACUGGGAGGAACACCGGUGGCGAAGGCGGCUCCCUGGACCGGUACUGACGCUGAGGUGCGAAAGCGUGGGUAGCAAACAGGAUUAGAUACCCCCGUA
rnacentral:rRNA from 1 species